CUAACACAUGCAAGUCGAGCGGAUGAGGGGAGCUUGCUUCCGAAUCCAGCGGCGGACGGGUGAGUAAUGUAUGGGUAUCUGCCUGUUCGUGGUGGACAACGUUUCGAAAGGAACGCUAAUACCGCAUACGUCCUACGGUGGAAAGCAGGGGACCUUCGGGCCUUGCGCUAUCAGAUGAGCCUAGGUCGGAUUAGCUAGUUGGUGAGGUAAAGGCUCACCAAGGCGACGAUCCGUAGCGGGUCUGAGAGGAUGAUCCGCCACACUGGUACUGAGACACGGACCAGACUCCUACGGGAAGCAGCAGUGAGGAAUAUUGGACAAUGGGGGGAAGCCUGAUCCAGCCAUGCCGCGUGUAGGAUGACGGCCUUAUGGGUUGUAAACUACUUUUAGGAGGGGAUAAACCUACUCACGUGUGAGUAGUUGAAGGUACUAGAAGAAUAAGCACCGGCUAACUCCGUGCCAGCAGCCGCGGUAAUACGGAGGGUGCGAGCGUUAUCCGGAUUUAUUGGGUUUAAAGGGUCCGUAGGCGGAUUAAUAAGUCAGUGGUGAAAUCCCGCAGCUCAACUGUGGAACUGCCAUUGAUACUGGUACUCUUGAGUAUAGU
rnacentral:rRNA from 1 species